UAUUAUUUAAAAUGUAAAUAUUAAUAUUUAAGUAGUAAUAGUUAUGUUCUUGAAACUUAAAAAAUUUGGCGGUAUUUUAGUCUAUCCAGAGGAACCUGUUUUGUAAUCGAUAAUCCACGAUGGACCUUACUUAAAUUUGUAAUCAGUUUAUAUACCGUCGUUAUCAGAAUAUUUUAUAAGAAUAAUAAUAUUCAAUAAUUUUUAUUAAAAUUUAUAUCAGAUCAAGGUGUAGCUUAUGUUUAAGUAAUAAUGGGUUACAAUAAAUUUAUUUAAACGGAUAAAAUUAUGAAAAAAUUUUUGAAGGUGGAUUUGGUUGUAAAAUUAUAAAGAUUAAUAAUUUGAUUUUAGCUCUAAAAUAUGUACACAUCGCCCGUCGCUCUUAUUAUUAAGGUAAGAUAAGUCGUAACAUAGUAGAUGUACUGGAAAGUGUAUCUAGAAUGA
rnacentral:rRNA from 1 species